UACAGAGGCCCCAAGCGUUACUGAGAAUCACUGGGUUUAAAGGGUGCGUAGGUGGUCCGUUAAGUUCGUUGUGAAAGCCCUGGGCUCAACCCAGGAACUGCUUCGAAUACUGGCGGACUUGAGGCUAGUAGAGGUCACUGGAACUGACGGUGGAGCGGUGAAAUGCGUAGAUAUCGUCAGGAACGCCAAUGGUGAAGACAGGUGACUGGGCUAGUACUGACACUGAGGCACGAAAGCGUGGGGAUCAAACAGG
rnacentral:rRNA from 1 species